rnacentral:rRNA from 1 species
GGUGGGGUAAAGGCCUACCAAGGCGACGAUCUGUAGCGGGUCUGAGAGGAUGAUCCGCCACACUGGGACUGAGACACGGCCCAGGCUCCUACGGGAGGCAGCAGUGGGGAAUAUUGGACAAUGGGGGGAACCCUGAUCCAGCCAUGCCGCGUGUGUGAAGAAGGCCUUAUGGUUGUAAAGCACUUUAAGCGAGGAGGAGGCUACUUUAGUUAAUACCUAGAGAUAGUGGACGUUACUCGCAGAAUAAGCACCGGCUAACUCUGUGCCAGCAGCCGCGGUAAUACAGAGGGUGCGAGCGUUAAUCGGAUUUAUGGGCGUAAAGCGUGCGUAGGCGGCUUAUUAAGUCGGAUGUGAAAUCCCCGAGCUUAACUUGGGAAUUGCAUUCGAUACUGGUGAGCUAGAGUAUGGGAGAGGAUGGUAGAAUUCCAGGUGUAGCGGUGAAAUGCGUAGAGAUCUGGAGGAAUACCGAUGGCGAAGGCAGCCAUCUGGCCUAAUACUGACGCUGAGGUACGAAAGCAUGGGGAGGAAACAGGAUUAGAUACCCUGGUAGUCCAUGCCGUAAACGAUGUCUACUAGCCGUUGGGGCCUUUGAGGCUUUAGUGGCGCAGCUAACGCGAUAAGUAGACCGCCUGGGGAGUACGGUCGCAAGACUAAAACUCAAAUGAAUUGACGGGGGCCCGCACAAGCGGUGGAGCAUGUGGUUUAAUUCGAUGCAACGCGAAGAACCUUACCUGGCCUUGACAUACUAGAAACUUUCCAGAGAUGGAUUGGUGCCUUCGGGAAUCUAGAUACAGUGCUGCAUGGCU